rnacentral:misc_RNA from 1 species
GAUGAAGAACGCAGCGAAAUGCGAUAAGUAAUGUGAAUUGCAGAAUUCAGUGAAUCAUCGAAUCUUUGAACGCACAUUGCGCCCGCCAGUAUUCUGGCGGGCAUGCCUGUUCGAGCGUCAUUUCAACCCUCAAGACCCCUUCGGGGGACUUGGUGUUGGGGACCGGCACAGGGGCCUGCCUGCUUGUCUUGCAGCGCCCUCGCCGCCCCCGAAAUGAAUUGGCGGCCUCGUCGCGGCCUCCCCUGCGUAGUAGCACAACCUCGCAACGGGAACGUGACGGCGGCCACUGCCGUAAAACAACCCCAAUUUUAUUAGAGUUGACCUCGAAUCAGGUAGGAAUACCCGCUGAACUUAAGCAUAUCAAUAGCGGAGGA